rnacentral:lncRNA from 1 species
CGUGUUCCAAAAAAAUCCCAAAUUAGGCCCAGGGCCCCUUUCGGCCCUAAUCGCAACUCCGGCACGGCGGCUCCGCCGUGCUCCAGCGACGGCGCCGUUGCUGGCGGCGGCGAUUCGCCUCGGGUUGGCUGUUUACGGCCGUUUCCGGCCGAAUUCGGCCACACUCGCAUCGGUCCCUACGAGAAAACAACUCUAGGGCCCUCGGGGGGCCAAAAAAUCACGGAAAAACGGAGCUUACCGGCGGCGGCGCUCUCGGGUGCGGCGGCUCUCCGGCGAGGUUCGUGUUUUGGUGAUUCGGCUCCGGUCAACCUGUAGAGAAAAGAGUGGUGAUCACGGUGAUAUAAA